GAUAAGAACGCAGCGAAAUGCGAUAAGUAAUGUGAAUUGCAGAAUUCAGUGAAUCAUCGAAUCUUUGAACGCACAUUGCGCCCGCCAGUAUUCUGGCGGGCAUGCCUGUCUGAGCGUCAUUUCAACCCUCAUGCCCCUAGGGCGUGGUGUUGGGGAUCGGCCAAAGCCCGCGAGGGACGGCCGGCCCCUAAAUCUAGUGGCGGACCCGUCGUGGCCUCCUCUGCGAAGUAGUGAUAUUCCGCAUCGGAGAGCGAUGAGCCCCUGCCGUUAAACCCCCAACUUUCCAAGGUUGACCUCAGAUCAGGUAGGAAUACCCGCUGAACUUAAGCAUAUCAAUAAGCGGAGGA
rnacentral:misc_RNA from 1 species